rnacentral:tRNA from 1 species
GGGUAUAUAGCUCAGUGGUAGAGUGCAUGGCUAGAAUGCAUGAGAUCCUGGGUUCUAUUCCUAGUACCUC